GCAGCGCCGCCUGCCUCAGCUCUUGGCUUUCCAGCCUUCGUCUUUGUUUGCGUUCUCCUGCUUCAUCACUCUCUUCUACUCCGUCCUUAGGGUUUACUUUUCUUUGACAAAAUGGCAGAAACUUUGGUACUUCGCGGGACGUUGAAGGGUCACGCCAAUUGGGUGACGGCCAUCGCCUGCCCGCUCGACAACCCCGACCUCAUCCUUUCGUCGUCUCGUGACAAGAGUAUCAUCGUCUGGCACCUCUCUCGCGAGGAGGGCAACUACGGUGUCGCCCGCCGCCGUUUGACUGGCCACGCUCACUUCGUUCAAGAUGUCGUGAUUUCCUCUGACGGACAGUUUGCUUUGUCUGGAUCAUGGGACGGAACCCUCCGCUUGUGGGACUUGAACACCGGAACCACCACCCGGCGGUUCAUUGGCCACACCAAGGAUGUGCUCAGUGUGGCUUUCUCUGUUGAUAACAGGCAGAUUGUGUCUGGCUCCCGUGACAAAACUAUCAAGUUGUGGAACACUCUCGGUGAGUGCAAGUAUACCAUCCAGGACGUAGACGCCCACACUGGCUGGGUCAGUUGUGUGCGUUUCUCCCCUGUGACGGCCAACCCUAUUAUCGUGUCUGGAGGGUGGGACAAGGUCGUGAAGGUGUGGAACCUGACCAACUGCAAGAUUCGUACUAACUUGGUUGGACACACCGGAUACGUUAAUACUGUUACUGUGUCUCCUGAUGGUUCCUUGUGCGCUAGCGGUGGCAAGGACGGAGUUGCCAUGUUGUGGGACUUGGCCGAGGGCAAGAGGUUGUACUCUUUGGAUGCUGGCGACAUCAUCCACUCCCUAUGUUUCAGCCCCAACAGGUACUGGCUGUGUGCUGCCACUCAGACCUGUAUCAAGAUCUGGGACUUGGAGAGCAAGAGCGUCGUCGACGAGCUGCGCCCCGAGUUCACCUUCGUCAGCAAGAAGGCCCAGAUUCCCUACUGUGUGAGUCUGAACUGGAGUGCCGACGGCAGCACCCUGUUCAGCGGCUACACCGAUGGUCACAUUAGAGUGUGGGCUGUUGGACGGGCUUAGAUUUUGCCCCCUUCGUCUAUGAAUUCGUGAACUGCACACCAGAUGUUCACAAAUCUGAAACCGGGUUCC
rnacentral:lncRNA from 1 species